rnacentral:rRNA from 1 species
GUUAGGAAUAUUGGACAAUGGGCGAAAGCCUGAUCCAGCCAUGCCGCGUGAACGAUGAAGGCCUUCGGGUUGUAAAGUUCUUUAGCCGAUGAUUAUAAUGACUGUAGUCGGAAAAUAAGCCCCGGCUAACUUCGUGCCAGCAGCCGCGGUAAUACGAAGGGGGCGAGCGUUAUUCGGAAUCACUGGGCGUAAAGCGUGCGUAGGCGGUUUUGUAAGUUAGGAGGGAAAGCCCAGGGCUCAACCUUGGAAUUGCUCUUAAAACUGCAAGGCUCGAAUCUGGGAGAGGAUAGCGGAAUGUCCAGUGGAGCAGUGAAAUGCGUAGAUAUUGGAAGGAACACCAGUGGCGUAAGCGGCUAGCUGGACGAGUAUUGACGCUGAGGCACGAAAGCGUGGGGAUCAAACAGGAUUAGAAACCCGAGUAGUCC